GGCCCUUAUUAACGAUUCUUCUAUGGUUACCGAGAUAAUCUACUAUAAUAAUACUUUUGUGUUUAUGAAUGAGAAAGGAAGGGGUGAUAGAUGAAUACGGAAGGAAGGGGUAAUGUAUUACUUGGUAGUGGGAUGAUGAAAAUUGCACGCUGAAAAAUAAAUCAAACAGCGUUUUCAAAUCUUUGUGAAUAUAUGUGCGUGUAUGUAAAAGGGGGUUGGGUAUGUGAAUG